UACGGAGGGGGCUAGCGUUGUUCGGAAUUACUGGGCGUAAAGCGCGCAUAGGCGGCUUUGUAAGUUAGAGGUGAAAGCCCGGAGCUCAACUCCGGAAUUGCCUUUAAGACUGCAUCGCUAGAAUCAUGGAGAGGUGAGUGGAAUUCCGAGUGUAGAGGUGAAAUUCGUAGAUAUUCGGAAGAACACCAGUGGCGAAGGCGACUCACUGGACAUGUAUUGACGCUGAGGUGCGAAAGCGUGGGGAGCAAACAGG
rnacentral:rRNA from 1 species